rnacentral:rRNA from 1 species
UACAGAGGUCUCAAGCGUUGUUCGGAUUCAUUGGGCGUAAAGGGUGCGUAGGCGGCGCGGUAAGUCGGGUGUGAAAUUUCGAGGCUUAACUUCGAAACUGCAUUCGAUACUGCCGUGCUUGAGGACUGGAGAGGAGACUGGAAUUCCCUGUGUAGCGGUGAAAUGCGUAGAGAUGGGGGAGAACACUCGUGGCGAAGGCGGCCAGCUAGACCAGUUCUGACACUGAGGCGCGACAGCGUGGGGAGCAAACAGG